ACGAGAAGGAAGACGGAGAAGCAGACGAAGACGACGAACUGAGAUCGUCGGUCGUGGUCGGUGAUAGUCUGGCUGGCUGUGUCACGGCUUGCUGGUGGUGAUGGUGGUGAUGGUGAUAGU
rnacentral:miRNA from 1 species